rnacentral:rRNA from 1 species
UACGGAGGGUGCAAGCGUUAUCCGGAUUCACUGGGUUUAAAGGGUGCGUAGGCGGCCUGAUAAGUCAGUGGUGAAAGCUUUCAGCUUAACUGGGAAACUGCCAUUGAGACUGUCAGGCUUGAGUACAAUUGAAGUGGGCGGAAUACAUCAUGUAGCGGUGAAAUGCUUAGAUAUGAUGUAGAACACCGAUUGCGAAGGCAGCUCACUAAAUUGCAACUGACGCUGAGGCACGAAAGCGUGGGUAGCGAACGGG